GAUGAACGCUGGCGGCGUGCCUAAUACAUGCAAGUCGAGCGAACGGACGAGAAGCUUGCUUCUCUGAUGUUAGCGGCGGUCGGGUGAGUAACACGUGGAUAACCUACCUAUAAGACUGGGAUAACUUCGGGAAACCGGAGCUAAUACCGGAUAAUAUUUUGAACCGCAUGGUUCAAAAGUGAAAGACGGUCUUGCUGUCACUUAUAGAUGGAUCCGCGCUGCAUUAGCUAGUUGGUAAGGUAACGGCUUACCAAGGCAACGAUGCAUAGCCGACCUGAGAGGGUGGUCCGCCCCACUGGAACUGAGACACGGUCCCGACUCCUACGGGAGGCCACCGUAGGGAAUCUUCCGGCAUGGGCGAAAGCCUGACGGGGCAAAGCCGCGUGAGUGAUGAAGGUCUUCCGAUCCUAAAACUCUUUUAUUAGGGAAGAACAUAUGUGUAAGUAACUGUGCCCCUCUUGACGGUACCUAAUUAGAAAGCCACGGCUAACUACCUG
rnacentral:rRNA from 1 species